rnacentral:lncRNA from 1 species
CAUGAACCUAAACUAGCAUGAUAUUCAGUUUUUAACUUAUCAAAAUUACAAGUAAGACUAUCAUGCUCCUUUUUUAGCAAUUUGUAUUUUCUACUAAUAAUCUUGCAUUCAUCAAAUAAGUCAUGGAAGGCAUUUAAUAAUUCGUCAAAUGAUAAAUUUGCAUCUAUUAAAUUCGUUACCUCCUCCCCGAUGGCCAUUAAGGCGUAAUGAGCAACUUGCUCGGUGUUGGACUCCUCUUCUUC